rnacentral:tRNA from 1 species
AGGGCAGUAGCUCAAUUGGCAGAGCACCGGUCUCCAAAACCGAAGGUUGAGAGUUCAAAUCUCUCCUGCCCUGCAA